rnacentral:rRNA from 1 species
GACGAACGCUGGCGGCGUGCCUAAUACAUGCAGGUAGAACGCUGAAGGAGGAGCUUGCUCUUCUGGAUGAGUUGCGAACGGGUGAGUAACGCGUAGGUAACCUGCCUGGUAGCGGGGGAUAACUAUUGGAAACGAUAGCUAAUACCGCAUAACAGUAGAUGUUGCAUGACAUUUACUUAAAAGGUGCAAUUGCAUCACUACCAGAUGGACCUGCGUUGUAUUAGCUAGUUGGUGGGGUAACGGCUCACCAAGGCGACGAUACAUAGCCGACCUGAGAAGGUGAUCGGCCACACUGGGACUGAGACACGGCCCAGACUCCUACGGGAGGCAGCAGCAGGGAAUCUUCGGCAAUGGACGGAAGUCUGACCGAGCAACGCCGCGUGAGUGAAGAAGGGUUUCGGAUCGUAAAGCUCUGUUGUAAGAGAAGAACGAGUGUGAGAGUGGAAAGUUCACACUGUGACGGUAGCUUACCAGAAAGAGACGGCUAACUACGUG